rnacentral:misc_RNA from 1 species
UUAAGUUCAGCGGGUACCCCUACCUGAUCCGAGGUCAACCAUAGAAAAUUGGGGGUUAAUGGCAAGCAUCCACCGGGACUCUAUAGUGAGGAGAAUUACUACGCUUAGAGCCAGAUAGCACCGCCACUGAUUUUAAGGGUGCCUGUGCGGCAGGCCCCAACACCAAGCUGAGCUUGAAGGGUUAUAAUGACGCUCGAACA